CUAAAUACUAAUACCAGAUCGAUAGUGCACAAGUACCGUGAGGGAAAGGUGAAAAGAACUGAGGUGAUCAGAGUGAAAUAGAACCUGAAACCAUUUGCUUACAAUCAUUCAGAGCACUAUGUAGCAAUACAGUGUGAUGGACUGCCUUUUGCAUAAUGAGCCUGCGAGUUGUGGUGUCUGGCAAGGUUAAGCAAACGCGAAGCCGUAGCGAAAGCGAGUCUGAAUAGGGCGCUUAGUCAGAUGCUGCAGACCCGAAACGAAGUGAUCUAUCCAUGAGCAAGUUGAAGCUAGUGUAAGAACUAGUGGAGGACUGAACCCAUAGGCGUUGAAAAGCCCCGGGAUGACUUGUGGAUAGGGGUGAAAGGCCAAUCAAACUUCGUGAUAGCUGGUUCUCUCCGAAAUAUAUUUAGGUAUAGCGUUGUGUCGUAAUAUAAGGGGGUAGAGCACUGAAUGGGCUAGGGCAUACACCAAUGUACCAAACCCUAUCAAACUCCGAAUACCUUAUAUGUAAUCACAGCAGUCAGGCGGCGAGUGAUAAAAUCCGUCGUCAAGAGGGAAACAACCCAGACUACCAGCUAAGGUCCCUAAGUCUUACUUAAGUGGAAAACGAUGUGAAGUUACUUAAACAACCAGGAGGUUGGCUUAGAAGCAGCCAUCCUUUAAAGAAAGCGUAAUAGCUCACUGGUCUAGUGAUUUUGCGCGGAAAAUAUAACGGGGCUAAAGUAAGUACCGAAGCUGUAGACUUAG
rnacentral:rRNA from 1 species